rnacentral:rRNA from 1 species
GACGAACGCUGGCGGCGUGCUUAACACAUGCAAGUCGAACGGAAAGACCCUGCUUUUGUGGGGUGCUCGAGUGGCGAACGGGUGAGUAACACGUGAGUAACCUGCCCUUGACUUUGGGAUAACUUCAGGAAACCGGGGCUAAUACCGGAUAGGAGCUCCUGCUGCAUGGUGGGGGUUGGAAAGUUUCGGCGGUUGGGGAUGGACUCGCGGCUUAUCAGCUUGUUGGUGGGGUAGUGGCUUACCAAGGCUUUGACGGGUAGCCGGCCUGAGAGGGUGACCGGCCACAUGGGGACUGAGAUACGGCCCAGACUCCUACGGGAGGCAGCAGUGGGGAAUAUUGCACAAUGGGCGGAAGCCUGAGGCAGCAACGCCGCGUGCGGGAUGACGGCCUUCGGGUUGUAAACCGCGUUCGCCUGUGACGAAGCGUGAGUGACGGUAAUGGGUAAAGAAGCACCGGCUAACUACGUG